rnacentral:rRNA from 1 species
CGCGUAGGCGGUCAGCACAAGUCAGUUGUGAAAUCUCCGGGCUUAACUCGGAAAGGUCAACUGAUACUGUGCGACUAGAGUGCGGAAGGGGCAACUGGAAUUCUCGGUGUAGCGGUGAAAUGCGUAGAUAUCGAGAGGAACACCUGCGGCGAAGGCGGGUUGCUGGGCCGACACUGACGCUGAUGCGCGAAAGCCAGGGGAGCGAACGG